rnacentral:rRNA from 1 species
UAGGGAAUAUUGGACAAUGGGGGCAACCCUGAUCCAGCCAUGCCGCGUGAGUGAAGAAGGCCCUCGGGUUGUAAAGCUCUUUUGUCCGGAAAGAAAAGCAUUCGGUGAAUACCCGGAUGUUCUGACGGUACCGGAAGAAUAAGCACCGGCUAACUUCGUGCCAGCAGCCGCGGUAAUACGAAGGGUGCAAGCGUUACUCGGAAUUACUGGGCGUAAAGCGUGCGUAGGUGGUUGUUUAAGUCUGAUGUGAAAGCCCUGGGCUCAACCUGGGAAUGGCAUUGGAAACUGGGCAGCUAGAGUGCGGUAGAGGGUAGUGGAAUUCCCGGUGUAGCAGUGAAAUGCGUAGAGAUCGGGAGGAACAUCUGUGGCGAAGGCGACUGCCUGGACCAGCACUGACACUGAGGCACGAAAGCGUGGGGAGCAAA